rnacentral:rRNA from 1 species
GACGAACGCUGGCGGCGUGCUUAAUACAUGCAAGUCGAACGGAAAGGCCCUGCUCUUGCGGGUCGCUCGAUUGGCGAACGGGUGAGUAACACGUGAGUAACCUGCCCUUGACUUUGGGAUAACUUUUGGAAACUGGGGCUAAUACCGGAUAGGAGCUCCUGCUGCAUGUUGGGGGUUGGUAAGUUUCGGCGGUUGGGGAUGGACUCGCGGGUUAUCAGCUAGUUGGUGAGGUAGUGGCUUACCAAGGGUUUGAAGGGUAGCUGGCAUGAGAGGGUGACCGGGCACCUGAGGACUGAGAUACGGCGCAGAAUCGUACGGGAGGCAGCAGGGGAGAAUAUUGCAGAGUGGGCGGAAGCCAGAUACAGCAGCGCCGCGUGCGGGAUAACGGCUUUCGGGUUGUAAACAGCUGUGGAAUGUGACGAGGAGUGAGUGACGGUAAUGAGUAAGGAAGCACCGGCUAACUACGUG